GCAGUUCACUGGGGGUGCCGCCACCGGCUGAGAGAAGCAUCUGCUUCAACCCUUGGAACCUGAUACGGGUAAUACCGGCGUAGGGACAGUGCAAACACACCAGU
rnacentral:ncRNA from 2 species